CGAAGGAACGGGAACAUAAUUUGGUUUAAGACAGCUUCCUCCAGCGUAGCUGGGCUUAUGUGCUUGGGACAAAGUAAUACGAAACAACGGGACACGGACAGCCUGAUUCUGAGUGUGCAAAGCUGUGGCUUUCCCUCCUAUGGACGCCUUCUGAACAGCAGAUCUGACUUCCUCCUCAAACCAAGGCAUCCUGAAAACAUCCAAGCAGAGGAAGCAUUUUUUCAUCAUGACAUGGGAAAGGGCCACAGAGAUCCAAAUGGAAACGGACAUUUCAUGAAGGAUCCCCUGAAGACUUACUCUCGCUCUCCACGGCCUCUUGACAGCUGGCUUCUAACCAAGACGUCUCAGAAAAGUCCUCCCUUUUCCUUAUUGUGUAUGUCAGUGGGAGUCUGUUUGCUGUCAUCAGAAGGUUCAUCUUACAUGCAUGACCGUGGAGGCCGUGUGUGUGUAUGUGUGCGUGUGUGUGUCUAUGUAAGGGGUGGGCAUGGUGCCUAGUUUUAAGCUUUAAAGAAUACUCAAAGACCAUGACUGAGAAAAUUAGAGAUUAAGGUGGUACUCCUUCCCCUGUUGCCCCCUAGGAAGCAAUAUAAAAUCUCUUGUCAUGGGCCACCCAUUAUAUCAAUGUAAUAUAUGCUACUAUAUUAAUCAAAAAUAGACAAUCUUCCACUCUGGUGGCAGAGUGAAUUGACACCGCUUUUCUGG
rnacentral:lncRNA from 1 species